GUUUCCAUAGUGUAGUGGUUUAUCACGUUCGCCUCUACAUUAAAAGGUCCCCAGUUCGAAACUGGGUGGAAACA
rnacentral:tRNA from 1 species